CGGUGGCGUUCCCCAGUUCACCACAAACGACGUCAUCGUCGUUUCCCGUCUCCAGAUCGCUGGCGUAGUCCAGUCCAGCAUCAUCCAGUUCACGCCGCCGGUCAUUCCUUCGACCCAAAGCCGACCGCUUCUCCAGAUUGCCGGCGUCGUCUAGUUCACGCCUGUCGUGCCUUCGACCCAAAACCGAUCGCUCCUUCAUCCCCUUUUCCAGAUUACCGCCGGCGUCCAGUUCACGUCGGUCGUGCCUUCGACCCAAAACCGACCGCUUCUUGAUCCCCGUUUCCAUAUUACCACCAGCGUCCAGUUCACGCCGGUCGUUCCUUCGACCCAAAACCGGCAGUCAAUCUCCUUCUCCUUCGCG
rnacentral:lncRNA from 1 species